ACGGAAGGCAGCAGUGGGGAAUAUUGGGCAAUGGGCGCAAGCCUGAUGCAGCAACGCCGCGUGAGUGAUGAAGGUCUUCGGAUCGUAAAACUCUGUCCUUAAGAACGAAACAAAUGACGGUACUUUUGGAGGAAGCCCCGGCUAACUACGUGCCAGCAGCCGCGGUAAUACGUAGGGGGCGAGCGUUAUCCGGAAUUAUUGGGCGUAAAGAGUACGUAGGUGGUUUGGUAAGCGUGAGGUGAAAGCCCGGGGCUCAACUCCGGUAAGCCUUUCGAACUGCCAGACUUGAGUGCAGGAGGGGAAAGUGGAAUUCCUAGCGUAGCGGUGAAAUGCGUAGAUAUUAGGAAGAACACCAGUGGCGAAGGCGAUCUACUGGACGAUAACUGACGCUGAGGCGCGAAAGCGUGGGGAGCAAACAGGAUUAGAUACCCUGGUA
rnacentral:rRNA from 1 species